rnacentral:rRNA from 1 species
AGCUCCAAUAGCGUAUAUUAAAGUUGCUGCAGUUAAAAAGCUCGUAGUUGGAUUUCUGGCUUGCAACCUUAGGCCGGCCACGGUUUCGUGUGUUAGUGCUUGCGGUUCUGGCCAUCCUUCCAAUCGCUAUUCAUUCAUCUUCAUUGAUGGGUGAGUGGUAUUGGAUCUUUUACUUUGAAAAAAUUAGAGUGUUUCAAGCAGGCUUUAUGCUAUGAAUACAUUAGCAUGGAAUAAUAAUUUAGGACUUCGGUUCUAUUUUGUUGGUUUCUAGGACUGAAGUAAUGAUUGAUAGGGAUAGUUGGGGGUGCCAGUAUUCAGCGGCCAGAGGUGAAAUUCUCGGAUUCGCUGAAGACUAACUUAUGCGAAAGCAUUCACCAAGGAUGUCUUCU